CCUGGUUUUCUGCCACGAUUGUAUGACUGCAUCUUUCUUUAAAAUGACUGUUCAUUAUGACUAUUUCAUCACGAAAUGACUCUGUAGUUGCUCUCUGCUGUUGGGCAACAGGGUUGUGUCCUGACACUUCUGCAUUUCUCUCAGGCUGAAACAACUCUGCAUAAAGUUGCCAGCAAUCCAGUUCCCCUAAAAACUCCUAUUUUUAAAGAGAACUUACUGCUUAUUGGAAGCAUUGCCUGAUGCCACGGCGAGCAAGAGCAGAGAUUCUCAGCGUGGUGCUCGUGCCUGCCUUCGACUGACAUUUGCGGUGUCUUUGCUGGAGAAGAGCAGCUCAGCUAGGAGCAGAGGGCUGGAAUUCCACAGGGAUGUGCUGGGAGGCUGGAGCCUGCCACGGUUUGAAUGUGAAUGCUGCUGGUGCAGGAGGCUGCCCGUGUUUUGUAUUCACAGCCACGCUCUGACACUGCAGGGCUCUUGGACUCGCAGGGGAUUCCAGAACCCGGGAACCUGGGCUGCUCAUUUAGGAGUGAGGCUUCUGUGGGACCUGGUGUGAGUGGUUUUCCUUCCGACCCCAAGCAUUCCCAGAAGUGCCGCCCUUUGCACAGCCCCGGUGGAAGGAACUGGGCUGGUUUCACCUCGAAGCUCCCAGAGCCACGGGCCAGUUUGCCAAAAGUUUCUCCUGCUUGUGCCUCCCCUUUGCUCCUAGAGAGAAGGAGAAACAGAAGAAGAGAUCUGUGUUUACAUGGAAGAGGUGCUUUUCAGCUCUCAGCUAAGGGGAGGCAUUUCUGCCCAUAUGUGCGAUUUGCCAGGAGUGGGAAAUUCACUCCUUAGCAGCCCAUGACAUAUGGCAGAGCUCAGAAAAGGCUCAGCUGAAGGUCUUGUGAGCACUUUGCCUUGUCCUUCCUCGGAUGUCUCAUCUCUUUCUCCGCAGGGAGAGAAGAGUGAUGUGACUGCUGUCCCGAAAACACAUCUCCCCAGCGCCUAAAUUGUUAAAAAUUGUGGCAACAGCUUCGUUCCAGAGCUGGCUCCCUUCAGGCACUGGAAGGCUGCAAUUUCAUCAUCCCAGAGCCUUUUCUUCUCCAGGUGAACACCCCCAGCUCUCCCAGUCUCUCUCCAGAGCAGAGGGCUCCAUCCCUCAGAUCAUCCCUGUGGACUCCCUCCAGCAGCUCCAUGUCCUUCCUGUGCUGGCAGCCCCAGAGCUCAGCACUCAGGUGAGGUCUCAUCGCUUCCCUGUAAGGCCUUGGGAGCUGAAAAGCCUCAGGAGA